UGCUUGUUCAGGGGAGUAACGUGCUGCAUGGUUCGGGGGCUUUGUCUUUAUUCACAACACAUUCAUGUGCCUCAGCAUGAGAGAACUGCACAGUUGCCUGCCAGCCCGUCCUCUUUGACUGUCUGCCGAAUAAGCCAAAUGAUAACUCUCUAUUAGUGAGAGAGGAGAGAGAGAGAAAGAGAGAGAGAGAGUGAAAUACAGAGGAAGAAAGAUCACGCAAAAAGGAGGGGGAGGCAGAGGGGGAAAAAGGAUGCUCUCCGGCACACUCAUAUAUUAGGUCUCCGUGCAAAGGCAGAAGGCUGCAGCAGCAGCAAGCUUUCGGGCAGUGAUUCUAACUAUUGCCUGUGAACACUGUGGCCGGGACGACUUUGCGGAGGCAAUUUAUUACUUAUGCAUAGAACACUCCAGCUCUGCUAAAACUGGGAGCGCAAACACCCCCUUGUUUUCUAAUUUAGAGACUUGCAUCUUUUCGACACUCAACUCUAUCAAGACACUCUGCUACUACAGGUUAACUUUGUGGUUAUCGCCAUAUAGGCCUUGGUUACCUCCUGAUUUUGUCAAAGGGAAAUCAACUGUUUGGAUCUUCUUAUCUAAUGAAGAACAACUUCUGGUAAGGAUGUUUAAUAAAUGAAAAUUUUAUAAAAAUGAUCUAUCAUGUUUAUUGGAUGUCAUCUGUGUUUUCACUUAUAAUUUCUAAUAUACAGACAGCUGAGAAAAAUAUGUAUCAUAUAUUUAUGCUUCAUAUCAUAUUAUAGAUACAAAAAUGGAGUCACUAAAAAUCUGCUCUUUAUUUUCACUGAGAGGUAAAUGUCUGACAACAGAUUGAAAUGUUACUUAUUUAAGAAUCAGUAAUAAUAGUGCCCUUUAAUUGGCAUGUGAAAGAAUUUAAAGCAUUUAAGGAAAAAAAUGAACCUCAGAGUUUCCCUUGACCUCCCUAGCAAAGUAGAUGGCUCCUCUUCUACAGGCACUCCCCUGCCCCAUUGACCUGAUUUUUCUUUUUAGAACAUUUAUAAUCACCUGGAAUUUGUUUGUUUAUUUAUUUAUCCCUACAGUGCCCAUCAUGCCCACCAGAAGAUAACUUCUAGGGGAGCCCAAAUGCUUGCAUAUUGGCAAAUGAUUGGCCCAUAGGUAUUUGUUGAAUGGAUGCAGUA